GACGAACGCUGGCGGCGUGCUUAACACAUGCAAGUCGAGCGGUAAGGCCCUUUCGGGGGUACACGAGCGGCGAACGGGUGAGUAACACGUGGGUGACCUGCCCUCAGCUCUGGGAUAAGCCUGGGAAACCGGGUCUAAUACUGGAUAUGACUCCAUGACGCAUGUUGUGGGGUGGAAAGCCUUGUGCGGCUGAGGAUGGGCCCGCGGCCUAUCAGCUUGGUUGGUGGGGUGANGGCCUACCAAGGCGACGACGGGUAGCCGGCCUGAGAGGGCGACCGGCCACAC
rnacentral:rRNA from 1 species